UUCCAAACCUGUACGACUUGCUUUAUUCUGUGGAACACAAAAGAAAAUAUUUUGAAAAAUGUGGAAAACCCGCAUUGACUGCCUGAUAUAUCGGUCUAUCACUAACUGGUACAGCGUUAAAAAAAAAUUGGCGUACAACAUCGCCAACUUGAAGACAAAGCAGGAGUGGACGUCCUCAUUGUUUUGCUUCCUUGUUUCCUUUUAUUGUGUUUUUGUCGCUUAAGUGUGUGCUCAAGGAAAAAUCAACCUCACCUAAGCUUUAGUCAGAAUGCUGUGUAAUAGACUAUGGUGUAUAAUAAUAUUAAAAAAAACAAAAUAAAAACAAUGUGUAAAUGGUCUUUCUGUCCAAUUAACAUGAGGAUAUUUUGAUGAAAAAAUAUUGACUAGUACAUUGUUACCAGCACUGAAGUUUUUUUUGAUGGUAAUUAAUAGUCAUUGUUAAUGUUACCUGUUUUAAUGGCCAAUUUGUGUUUUGAUAUCUUUGCGACUGUUUAUCAAUGGUGGUUUUAUGAUUUCGUAAUCCUGACCAUUUGGAUACUCUAUAGAACAGCAAGAUGCUCUCCUACACUUUAAACAAGGAAAAUGCAGCUAUAAGAUUCAUGCACCUCUUGCAUUACAAGGGGUAAACAUUUAAUAAACUAAAACAAGGAAAG